GAUGAAGAACGUAGUGAAAUGCGAUACGUAAUGUGAAUUGCAGAAUUCAGUGAAUCAUCGAGUCUUUGAACGCACAUUGCGCCCCCUGGUAUUCCGGGGGGCAUGCCUGUCCGAGCGUCAUUGCUGCCCUCAAGCACGGCUUGUGUGUUGGGCCUCCGUCCUCCUCCCGGGGGACGGGCCCGAAAGGCAGCGGCGGCACCGCGUCCGGUCCUCGAGCGUAUGGGGCUUCGUCACCCGCUCUUGUAGGCCCGGCCGGCGCUUGCCGACACAUCAAUCUUUUAUCCAGGUUGACCUCGGAUCAGGUAGGGAUACCCGCUGAACUUAAGCAUAUCAAGGAGGA
rnacentral:misc_RNA from 1 species